CAGUAGCCACGGGAAUACGAAGGGGGCUAGCGUUGUUCGGAAUUACUGGGCGUAAAGGGCGCGUAGGCGGCCAUUCAAGUUAGAUGUGAAAGCCCUGGGCUCAACCUAGGAAUUGCAUUUGAUACUGUUUGGCUUGAGUUCGGGAGAGGUGAGUGGAAUUCCCAGUGUAGAGGUGAAAUUCGUAGAUAUUGGGAAGAACACCAGUGGCGAAGGCGGCUCACUGGACCGACACUGACGCUGAGGCGCGAAAGCGUGAGGAGCAAACAGGAUUAGAUACCCGCGUAGUCCCUGUCUCUUAUAC
rnacentral:rRNA from 1 species